UACGUAGGGUGCAAGCGUUGUCCGGAAUUAUUGGGCGUAAAGAGCUCGUAGGCGGCUUGUCGCGUCGACUGUGAAAUCCCGCGGCUCAACUGCGGGUCUGCAGUCGAUACGGGCAGGCUAGAGUUCGGUAGGGGAGACUGGAAUUCCUGGUGUAGCGGUGAAAUGCGCAGAUAUCAGGAGGAACACCGGUGGCGAAGGCGGGUCUCUGGGCCAAUACUGACGCUGAGGAGCGAAAGCGUGGGGAGCAAACAGG
rnacentral:rRNA from 1 species